UACGUAGGGUGCAAGCGUUAAUCGGAAUCACUGGGCGUAAAGCGCACGUAGGCGGAUUGUUAAGUCAGGGGUGAAAUCCUGGAGCUCAACUCCAGAACUGCCUUUGAUACUGGCGAUCUCGAGUCCGGGAGAGGUGAGUGGAACUGCGAGUGUAGAGGUGAAAUUCGUAGAUAUUCGCAAGAACACCAGUGGCGAAGGCGGCUCACUGGUCCGGUACUGACGCUGAGGUGCGAAAGCGUGGGGAGCAAACAGG
rnacentral:rRNA from 1 species